rnacentral:rRNA from 1 species
AGAGUUUGAUCAUGGCUCAGGACGAACGCUGGCGGCGUGCUUAACACAUGCAAGUCGAACGGUAAGGCCCUUCGGGGUACACGAGUGGCGAACGGGUGAGUAACACGUGGGUAAUCUGCCCUGCACAUCGGGAUAAGCCUGGGAAACUGGGUCUAAUACCGAAUAGGACCACAGGACACAUGUCCUGUGGUGGAAAGCUUUUGCGGUGUGGGAUGGGCCCGCGGCCUAUCAGCUUGUUGGUGGGGUGAUGGCCUACCAAGGCGACGACGGGUAGCCGGCCUGAGAGGGUGUCCGGCCACACUGGGACUGAGAUACGGCCCAGACUCCUACGGGAGGCAGCAGUGGGGAAUAUUGCACAAUGGGCGAAGGCCUGAUGCAGCGACGCCGCGUGGGGGAUGACGGCCUUCGGGUUGUAAACCUCUUUCACCAUCGACGAAGGUCCGGGUUUUCUCGGGCUGACGGUAGGUGGAGAAGAAGCACCGGCCAACUACGUGCCAGCAGCCGCGGUAAUACGUAGGGUGCGAGCGUUGUCCGGAAUUACUGGGCGUAAAGAGCUCGUAGGUGGUUUGUCGCGUUGUUCGUGAAAUCUCACGGCUUAACUGUGAGCGUGCGGGCGAUACGGGCAGACUUGAGUACUGCAGGGGAGACUGGAAUUCCUGGUGUAGCGGUGGAAUGCGCAGAUAUCAGGAGGAACGCCGGUGGCGAAGGCGGGUCUCUGGGCAGUAACUGACGCUGAGGAGCGAAAGCGUGGGGAGCGAACAGGAUUAGAUACCCUGGUAGUCCAA